rnacentral:lncRNA from 1 species
GGGAAAAUUUGAUGUUUAUUAUUUUAUUUUAUUUUUUCUCUUACACUGUUUCAUAUUGUCCAUUUAGUUUCAUAGUUUAUUUUCCAAUAGAACGACACAAAAUGCCGUUGCCAUCUGGAAGUAUAUUGGGUGAAGUGAAAUACGAAAUUUAGAGUUGGCAAGGCCUAUAACUUUGGGUCGUUUACGAUUAUUUAAUUCAAACAUUCUAGUACACACAGCAACAACCUAUAAGGCUUGCGGUAGUAUUGUUCUCACUCAAAGAUGGGCUGCAAUGGCUGACAUUGUUCUGUGUUCAGAAAGUAAACGAUCUUAUAAAUGCACUAAUCAGUUAUUCAAGUCGAUAUUAUUAGUAAAAAUAAAUAAAUAAAGAAGUAGAAUCAAAUAGAGAAAUCAGGGUUCAGCUAAAAUCACAAUUUUUUGAAGCCUCCAGCCACCUAAUCUCCUCGAACAAGGUAGCAUUCCCAUGCCUAGGCCUUGCUCAUCCAAAGUCAAGCAAGUUCGGUUUUAGAAGUUAAUCGUGGUCAGGAGGCGGCGUCAUCUUCAUUUCAGGAGCCUGGCCGAACGUCCGUUUGGUGUUCUUCCAAGCCGUUGUUCUUUUAGUGCCUGCGGCUUAGAGUUAUCUGGUGGCAAGACCUCCAUCUUUUCAUGCAUAGGACUGCAUUCAGUAAGUUUCCCCGAUUGCUCGAGUUCUUGUUCUCUGCAGUCAUCCACAACUUUUAGAUUCUUCACUGGACUUUGUUUGAGUAGCUGCAUUCUUUGCUUUUGAAAUUUGGGAGAAUCCUGCGGUUCGUCCAUAGAGGUGGUUUUCAUUGGUUUUGGGGGUGGCCAGCUCCUAGGUCUUUGCUUCAACGAUGCCCCUAGACGCCUGGAGACUCUUACCGGACGCACUUCAGGACAACUUUCUGGCGGCAAUGCAGCUGCAACACCGGGUUUGGCAGGGGGCCGAGUUCUCAGACUCCUUCGUAGUUGCUUCCCUUGGAAAGUCUCUGUUUUUUGCGAUGGGAGCUGUCCUUUGGAUUCUUGUUCAGUC